UAACCCUAAGAUGGUCGAGUGAGGCUGGUGGCCGAAGCCGGUGGAAUCGCCGGAGGAGGAGGAGCGACUUUAAGUAUAACGGGAACACGGUCUUAAAAGCCGGUGAAUACUUUAUGGUACUGCCGCCCUCGACACGCAGGUCGUCAACCUGGAACCCGGCAAUCCCACUCUCUACAGGUUAUUUGAUCUCCUCCUUUGAGUUGAGUUGACUCCUCUUUCAAUGUUCACUGGAACCAGCACUGCAACCAUGCCUCACUAUUUUGAUAGGCAGAUGCAAGAAGCUUGUUUGAAAUAGCUUUGUUCAUCUUCUCAAUAGCUCAGUUCAAACUUCCAUGCAUCGGCAAGCACUUGAUGAAAAUUAUAAAACUCUGUUCAGGUUCUAACACAUGAUGGUAGGCAGACCGAGAGGA